rnacentral:lncRNA from 1 species
UUUAAAUACAAAUAGAAAAAUAAGAACAGAAAAAUAAAAACAGAAAAAUAAAAUCGGAAAAAUAAAAAAAGAAAGAUGCUCCCCUUGCUUGAUAUUCUUUUCUUUUACUUCUUUCUGCUGAAUUUUUUCAAAAAGUUGAGAACACCAAGCACCUGUUUCCAUGUCUGAAUCAUAGGAACUUUAAUCUCCAAUUUCUUGAAGAUCUCCAUAAUGCACUUGACUUUCUUUUCCUUCCUAUGAUAUUUUUUUUUUGAAUGAGGAAGGGGUUUUGCAUAUGAUCUUUUCUUCUUUCCUUUCUUCCUCUUUUUCUUAAUCUCCUCCCUCAACUUUCUCUUUUUCUCUUUUCUUCUUUUCUUCUUUAUUUUUGCAUAUUUUUUCUUUUUUUCUUUUUUUCUUUUUUCUCAACCACUACUUUUUCUCUCUCCUUAUCUUUCUCUCUCUCAUUCAACCUUUUUGUUUCUUCUUCCUCUAUCUUUUCCUCCUUUAUCUUUUCUUCCUCAAUCUUCUCCUCCUUUUUCUCCAUUUUUUUUAUCCUCAACAACCUUUUCUGUUUCUAUCUCUUUUAUCUUUUUCACCUCUCUCUCUCUAUGUUCUCCUCAUCAACAACCUCAUCAAUUUGUGUCUCCAAAUUCCUGAAGGUAACUUCAUAGCUCUUGGAAUCGUACUUCUCCAAGAAUUUGUCAAACUUUUGAUUAAGGCUUUUAACUUGUUUCGUCACAUCAGCUAUCUGAUGACAUAGUUGUUGCUCAUCCUCCCAUGUUUCUGUUGAUAAAGAGAGUUGUUGCUGCCACAAACGUUGUUUAGAUUCCCCC